ACACUCCUGCGGGAGGCAGCAGUGGGGAAUAUUGGACAAUGGGCGCAAGCCUGAUCCAGCCAUGCCGCGUGAGUGAUGAAGGCCCUAGGGUUGUAAAGCUCUUUCACCGGUGAAGAUAAUGACGGUAACCGGAGAAGAAGCCCCGGCUAACUUCGUGCCAGCAGCCGCGGUAAUACGAAGGGGGCUAGCGUUGUUCGGAUUUACUGGGCGUAAAGCGCACGUAGGCGGACUAUUAAGUCAGGGGUGAAAUCCCGGGGCUCAACCCCGGAACUGCCUUUGAUACUGGUAGUCUUGAGUUCGAGAGAGUUGAGUGGAAUUCCGAGUGUAGAGGUGAAAUUCGUAGAUAUUCGGAGGAACACCAGUGGCGAAGGCGGCUCACUGGCUCGAUACUGACGCUGAGGUGCGAAAGCGUGGGGAGCAAACAGGAUUAGAUACCCGUGUAGUCCCAUGA
rnacentral:rRNA from 1 species